GACCUGUUGGCGCACUCGGCAGCGCACCCACUAUGACUGGACGUUUCCCUCACACUGUAUAAUGUGGGAUGCCCAGUUCGACUCUAGGAUGGGUCA